UAGGAUGUCGUGAUGGGACCGAGCUC
rnacentral:piRNA from 1 species